rfam:Triticum aestivum genome assembly, contig: Triticum_aestivum_CS42_TGACv1_scaffold_094423_2AL
GAAAUACUUUCUUUGUCCGGAAAUACUUAGUCAAAGAAAUAAAUAUAUCUAGAUCUAUUAGUUCUAGAUACAUUCACUUUUAUCCAUUCCUAUGACAAGUAAUUCCGGACAAAGGAAGUAUAUA